UGCCCUUGGGAAAGAAUAUGAAGGUGGCC
rnacentral:piRNA from 1 species